ACAUUGAAACACCGAUUCCCAUACAAUCACUGAAGUUAAGCCACAUCAAGCCUGGUCAGUGCCUAGUUGGGUGACUACUUGGGAAUAUCAGGUGCUGUAA
rnacentral:rRNA from 1 species